rnacentral:lncRNA from 1 species
CGAAGAUGGGCAAGAGAGGCUGGCUUCAGGUGGCAAACUUUAAGCAAAAGAAACACACAAGGGCGUGGAGACCUGGGGAAAAAGCAGCACUGAGAAAUCUACCCUCUGAAACUGACGAGGAUGGGCAACAGAGGCUACCUCAGGUGGCAAUCGUUAAGCAAAAGAAACACACAAGGGCGUGGAGACCUGGGGAAAAAGCAACACGGAGAAAUCCACCCUCUGAAACUGAGGAAGAUGGGCAAGAGAGGCUAGCUCAGGUGGCAAUCGUUAAGCAAAAACAAAACCCAAAGGCGUGGAGACCUGGGGAAAAAGCAACCCUGAAAUAUCUACCCUCUGAAACUGAGGAAGAUGGGCAAGAGAGGCUGGCUUCAGGUGGCAAACUUUAAGCAAAAGAAACACACAAGGGCGUGGAGACCUGGGGAAAAAGCAACACGGAGAAAUCCACCCUCUGAAACUGAGGAAGAUGGGCAAGAGAGGCUAGCUCAGGUGGCAAUCGUUAAGCAAAAGAAACACACAAGGGCGUGGAGACCUGGGGAAAAAGCCACACGGAGAAAUCCACCCUCUGAAACUGAAGAAGAUGGGCAACAGAGGCUAGCUCAGGUGGCAAUCUUUAAGCAAAAAAAAUAAAAUAAAAAAAUACAAUGGCGAGGAGACCCGGUCAAAAAGCAACCCUGAAAAAGGUACCCUCUGAAACUGAGGAAGCAGGGCAACAAUGCCUAGCUCAGGUGACAAUCUUUAAGCAAAAGAAACACACAAGGGCGUGGAGACCUGGGGAAAAAGCAACACGGAGAAAUCCACCCUCUGAAACUGAGGAAGAUGGGCAACAGAGGCUACCUCAGGUGGCAAUCGUUAAGCAAAAACAAAACCCAAAGGCGUGGAGACCUGGGGAAAAAGCAACCCUGAAAUAUCUACCCUCUGAAACUGAGGAAGAUGGGCAAGAGAGGCUGGCUUCAGGUGGCAAACUUUAAGCAAAAGAAACACACAAGGGCGUGGAGACCUGGGGAAAAAGCAGCACUGAGAAUCUACCCUCUGAAACUGACGAGGAUGGGCAACAGAGGCUACCUCAGGUGGCAAUCGUUAAGCAAAAGAAACACACAAGGGCGUGGAGACCUGGGGAAAAAGCAACACGGAGAAAUCCACCCUCUGAAACUGAGGAAGAUGGGCAACAGAGGCUAGCUCAGGUGGCAAUUCUUAAGCAAAAAAAAUAAAUAAAAAAAUACAAUGGCGAGGAGACCCGGUCAAAAAGCAACCCUGAAAAAGGUACCCUCUGAAACUGAGGAAGCAGGGCAACAGUGCCUAGCUCAGGUGGCAAUCUUUAAGCAAAAGAAACACACAAGGGCGUGGAGACCUGGGGAAAAAGCAACACGGAGAAAUCCACCCUCUGAAACUGAGGAAGAUGGGCAAGAGAGGCUGGCUUCAGGUGGCAAACUUUAAGCAAAAGAAACACACAAGGGCGUGGAGACCUGGGGAAAAAGCAGCACUGAGAAAUCUACCCUCUGAAACUGACGAGGAUGGGCAACAGAGGCUACCUCAGGUGGCAAUCGUUAAGCAAAAGAAACACACAAGGGCGUGGAGACCUGGGGAAAAAGCAACACGGAGAAAUCCACCCUCUGAAACUGAGGAAGAAGAUGGGCAACAGAGGCUAGCUCAGGUGGCAAUCGUUAAGCAAAAACAAAACACAAAGGCGUGGAGACCUGGGGAAAAAGCAACCCUGAAAUAUCUACCCUCUGAAACUGAGGAAGAUGGGCAAGAGAGGCUGGCUUCAGGUGGCAAUCUUUAAGCAAAAGAAACACACAAGGGCGUGGAGACCUGGGGAAAAAGCAACACGGAGAAAUCCACCCUCUGAAACUGAGGAAGAUGGGCAAGAGAGGCUACCUCAGGUGGCAAUCCUUAAGCAAAAACAAAGCACAAAGGCGUGGAGCCCUGGGGACAAAGCAACCCUGAAAUAUCUACCCUCUGAAACUGAGGAACAUGGGCAAGAGAGGCUAGCUCAGGUGGCAAUCGUUAAGCAAAAGAAACACACAAGGGCGUGGAGACCUGGGGAAAAAGCAACACGGAGAAAUCCACCCUCUGAAACUGAGGAACAUGGGCAAAAGAAGCUAGCUCAGGUUGCAACCUUUAAGCAGAAAAAAAAAAAAGACGCAAGGGCGUGGAGAGCUGGCGAAAAAGCAACACUGAGAAAUCUACCCUCUGAAACCGAAGAAGAUGGGCAACAGAGGCUAGCUCAGGUGGCAAUCGUUAAGCAAAAACAAAACCCAAAGGCGUGGAGACCUGGGGAAAAAGCAACCCUGAAAUAUCUACCCUCUGAAACUGAGGAAGAUGGGCAAGAGAGGCUGGCUUCAGGUGGCAAACUUUAAGCAAAAGAAACACACAAGGGCGUGGAGACCUGGGGAAAAAGCAGCACUGAGAAAUCUACCCUCUGAAACCGAAGAAGAUGGGCAACAGAGGCUAGCUCAGGUGGCAAUCUUUAAGCAAAAAAAAUAAAAUAAAAAAAUACAAUGGCGAGGAGACCCGGUCAAAAAGCAACCCUGAAAAAGGUACCCUCUGAAACUGAGGAAGCAGGGCAACAGUGCCUAGCUCAGGUGACAAUCUUUAAGCAAAAAAAAAAAAAAAAAAAAAAAAA